AGUGAACGCUGGCGGUAGACCUAACACAUGCAAGUCGAACGGCAGCACAGUAAGAGCUUGCUCUUACGGGUGGCGAGUGGCGGACGGGUGAGGAAUACAUCGGAAUCUACUUUUUCGUGGGUGAUAACGUAGGGAAACUUACGCUAAUACCGCAUACGACCUACGGGUGAAAGCAGUGGAUCUUCGGACCUUGCGCGAUUGAAUGAGCUGAUUUCGGAUUAGCUAGUUGGCAGGGUAAAGGCCCACCAAGGCGACGAUCCGUAGCUGGCCUGAGAGGAUGAUCAGCCACACUGGAACUGAGACACGGUCCAGACUCCUACGGGAGGCAGCAGUGGGGAAUAUUCGACAAUGGGCGAAAGCCUGAUCCAGCAAUACCGCGUGGGUGAAGAAGGCCUUCGGGUUGUAAAGCCCUUUUGUUGGGAAAGAAAAGCAGCAGGUUAAUACCCCGCUGUUCUGACGGUACCCAAAGAGUAAGCAACGGCUAACUUCGUG
rnacentral:rRNA from 1 species